AUGAAGAGAGAAAUUGCUCAAUACAUUGCUAGUUGCGACGUCUGUCGUCGUGUUAAAGCAGAGCACCAACGGCCUGCUGGCACUCUUCAACCUUUGGCUAUUCCUGAGUGGAAAUGGGAUAAAAUCAGUAUGGAUUUCAUUACUGGGUUUCCCAGGACCAAGAGAGGGAAUAAUUCCAUCUUUGUCUUGAUCGACCGUCUUUCCAAAGUAGCCCAUUUCCUACCUGUUCGUGAGAGUAUCACCGCUAGCCAGCUAGCUGAAUUAUACAUCUCCCGAAUAGUGUCGCUUCAUGGUGUCCCAUUGGAA
rnacentral:rRNA from 1 species